rnacentral:rRNA from 1 species
AAUCUCGGACAAUGGGGGCAACCCUGAUCCAGCCAUCCCGCGUGUGCGAUGAAGGCCUUCGGGUUGUAAAGCACUUUUGGCAGGGACGAAAAGGCCCGGGUGCAUAUCUUUCGCCGCCGCCGGUACCUUCAGAAUAAGCUCCGGCUAACUACGUGCCAGCAGCCGCGGGUAUACGUAGGGUGCAAGCGUUAAUCGGAAUUACUGGGCGUAAAGCGGGCGUAGGCGGUUUGGCAAGAAAGAUGUGAAAUACCAGGGCUUAACCUUGGAACUGCAUUUUUAACUGCCAGGCUAGAGUAUGUCAGAGGGGGGGAGAAUUCCGCGUGUAGCAGUGAAAUGCGUAGAGAGGCAGAGGAAUACCGAUGGCGAAGGCAGCCCCCUGGGAUAAUACUGACGCUCAGGCACGAAAGCGUGGGGAGCAAACAG